rnacentral:misc_RNA from 1 species
CUUUUUUUUUUCUUUUAUUUUCUUUAUUUAUUUUUCAGCCAUUAAAUGUUGAUUUUGAAAAUGGCUAAUAGCUUCAACUUGCAUAAUCCAUGUGUAAAUUGUACAUUUUUGGAAUGCUUAAAUGAUCAACAAACUGGAAAAAAUACACAAAAAUAUUGAAUUUUCUUAUUCCUAUAAAUAACUAGAAAAUACUAUUCAAUAAGAAAAAAAAAAGG